ACUACGUUUAUGGUGGAAGAAAAAAAGUGAGGCAUGAAGGAAAGAUCAAGGGAGAUGGAAUUUGUUGUGGCUGUUGUGGUGAGACACUGAAGCUUGCUGAUUUUGAAUCUCAUGCUGGAAGUAAGCUGGGCAGGCCACUUCAGAAUGUGAUUCUGCAGUCAGGACAGUCUCUUUUGCAAUGUCUAGUAGACUCAUGGAAUAAGCAGAAAGAAAUUGAUCCUAUUGCAUUUCAUUCCGUGGAUAUUGUUGGUGAUGACCCCAAUGAUGAUACAUGCAACAUUUGUG
rnacentral:misc_RNA from 1 species